AUGGUUGCGUUGGAAAUCGAGGUCCGAACUCCAUAUGAUCCAUUUUCUGAAGCGAUAGAAUCGGACGCUCCAGGAGCAAAAGAGUAUGUUCAUAUACGAAUUCAACAAAGGAAUGGAAAAAAGAGUUUAACAACGGUUCAAGGACUGAAGAAGGAGUUCAGCUACGAGAAGAUUCUGAAGGAUCUUAAGAAAGAGUUCUGUUGCAACGGGAAUGUUGUGCAGGAUAAAGAGCUUGGUAAAGUUAUCCAACUUCAAGGUGAUCAGAGGAAGAAAGUUUCGCAGUUUUUGGUUCAGGUUGGACUUGUGAGGAAGGAUCAGAUCAAGAUUCAUGGUUUUUGA